rnacentral:rRNA from 1 species
UACGGAGGGUGCAAGCGUUAAUCGGAAUUACUGGGCGUAAAGCGUGCGCAGGCGGUGAUGUAAGACAGUUGUGAAAUCCCCGGGCUCAACCUGGGAACUGCAUCUGUGACUGCAUCGCUGGAGUGCGGCAGAGGGGGAUGGAAUUCCGCGUGUAGCAGUGAAAUGCGUAGAUAUGCGGAGGAACACCGAUGGCGAAGGCAAUCCCCUGGGCCUGCACUGACGCUCAUGCACGAAAGCGUGGGGAGCAAACAGG